AUGUCGCAUGUAGCCAGUUUGCUCGCCUCGGCUGUGAUCCCAGCGGUUUGCAAUAAGCUGGGUUCGGUCAUUGGGGAUGAGGUCACGAUGCUGUGCAGCUUCAAGAACGACCUCAAGGACUUGAAGGACACGUUGGAGUACAUGGAGGCGGCGCUCAAGGAUGCUGAGAGGCGAUCUGUCACGGAGGAAUUGGUGCGGUUGUGGCUCAAGCGGCUCAAGAACGCUGCCUACGACAUCUCUUACAUGCUGGAUGAGUUCCAAGCCAACAGUGAACCAACCUCCAGAAAGAUGAUUGGAAAGCUAGACUGUUUUGGUAUUGCACCCAAGAUUACCAUGGCUUAUAAGAUGAAGAACAUGGGAGAUCACCUGAGAAAGAUCAAAGAAGAUCACGAGAAUUUUAAAUUCACACAUGAUAACUCCAGCCUAAUUAAUAUGUGGCAGUUUCCUGAUCCACAGGAAACAACAUCAGAUGUGACUGAAUCACUCAUCAUAGAGAGAGACAGAGACAAAAUGAAUGUCCUUUCUUUGUUAUCCACAAGCAACAACAAGGAAGAUAUGACAAUUAUUCCUAUUUGUGGGCUUGGAGGAAUAGGAAAGACAACUUUGGCACAACUGGUCUUCAGUGAUGCUCAAUUCAAAGAUUAUGAUCAUCGGGUAUGGGUCUAUGUAUCCCAGGUAUUUGACAUGAAAAAAAUAGGGAACUCCAUAAUUUAUCAAGUAGAAAAAGGAAGCCAGAAUCUAGAUACAAGGCAGUUGAUAAACCAACAUCUUAAACAUCUACUUCAAGACAAGAAGACUCUUCUUGUUUUGGAUGACCUAUGGGAGACAGAUAACUCCCAACUGAAUCAACUCAAGCUUAUGUUGAAUGUAAGCUCCAAGAUAAGAGUCUUAGUCACAACACGUAGCAUAGACAUUGCAAGAAAAAUUUGUACUGUUGAACCAUACAAGCUAGAUCCCUUGGAUAACGACAUGUGCUGGAGAAUAAUCAAGCAAAACAGUGGCUUCGAAUCUAGAGGUUAUAAAGAGCAACUUGAGCCAGUUGGACAGACAAUUGCAAAGAAAUGUGGAGGUUUGCCAUUAGCAGCUCAAGCACUUGGACUUUUGCUAUCUGGGAUGAAUCUUAGUGACUCGGAAGCAAUAUGCAACAUUGACAUUUGGGAUGAACCAUUUUCUGAUAGUACAGUGUUGCCAUCCUUGAAGUUAAGUUACAAUACAUUGACACCAUAUCUGAGGUUAUGCUUUGCCUAUUGUGGCACCUUUCCUAAAGGUCACAAUAUAAGUAAAGAUGAUCUUAUCCAUCAAUGGAUUGCCCUGGGUUUCAUUGAGCCAUCUAACAACUUUUCGGCCAUACAACUUGGCGAGAAGUAUGUUAGGCAAUUCAUGGGGAUAUCUUUCCUUCAGCAUUCAUAUUUGCACAAGGAUUUUCCAAAAACAAUUUUCACCAUGCAUGAUCUGGUGCAUGAUCUCGCAAGAUCGGUCAUUAGUGAAGACUUGGCAGUCUUUGAUGCUAAAAGAGCGAGCAGUACUAGAAGAAAAGAAUACUGCCGCUAUGCAUCUCUUACAAAUUACAAUAUUUCAGAUUACAACAAGGCAAGGAAGAUGUCAACUAUUUUCCCACCUAAGUUAAGGGUGAUGCAUUUUUUGGACUGUGGAUUUCAUGGUGGUGCAUUUUCAUUUCCAAAGUGCCUGCGUGUCCUGGAUCUAUCUAGAUGCUCCAUCACAGAGUUUCCAAGCGCUGUAGGACAAUUGAAGCAAUUGGAGGUUCUUAUUGCUCCGGAGCUGCAAGAUCAGCAAUUUCCCGACAGUAUCACUCGUUUCUCAAGAUUACAUUACCUGAAUCUCAAUGGAUCACGUGAAAUUUCAGCAAUACCAAGCUCGGUUAGCAAACUUGAGAGCCUUGCGCAUCUUUAUUUAUCUUAUUGUACCACUGUGGAAGUCAUACCAGAGAGCCUUGGAAGCCUAAACAACCUUCGUACACUUGACUUCUCAGGGUGCCAGAAACUAGAGUCCCUUCCAGAGAGCCUUGGAAGCCUUGAAAACCUUCAAACACUCGAUCUCUCAGUUUGCGAUGAACUAAAGUCCCUUCCUGAGAGCUUUGGAAGCCUAAACAACCUAGAUACCCUUGACCUCUCAGGCUGCCGUAAACUAGAGUCCCUUCCAGAGAGCUUUCGAAGCAUGAAAACCCUUGGAACACUAGACCUCUCAGGCUGCAGUAAACUAGAGUCCCUUCCGGAGAACCUUGGAAGCCUAAAAAACCUUCAAAGAAUGCACCUCUUUGCCUACCAUAAACUAGAGUCCCUUCCGGAGAGCCUUGGAGGCCUCAAAAAUCUUCAAACACUCAACCUCUCACACUGCAAUAAACUAGAGUCCCUUCCAGAGAGCCUUGGAAUCCUACAGAAUCUUCGUACACUUGACCUCUCAAGCUGCUUUGAACUAAAAUCCCUUCCAGAGAGUCUUGGAAGUGUCAAAAACCUUCGAACACUAGACCUCACAUUCUGUCAUAAACUAAAGGCCCUUCCAGAGAGCCUUGGAAGCCUCAAAAAUCUUCAAACACUCAACCUCUCAGGCUGA
rnacentral:rRNA from 1 species